UGUCAAUUCUGUUGUACUGUACUUUACCAUUGCUUGGUAUAAUAUUCUUCAUACUGUAAGGCUUUCCAGUGUGGAAUUUGGGAACCUAGUGGGGAGGGAUUGUGGAACUAGGUAGAGGGGAGUGGUAGAACCAGAUUAGGAAAGGGGUGGAAGGAGUGAGGAGAGGCAACAGUUUUGAGUGGAGGGGGCACCUAGAGACAGCCUUAGACUGAAUGGACUGGAGCAGAGGCACUCUGCAGCAAAACUACAAAUAAUAUAGAAGGUCUUCAGGAUUCAUGUGUUCACACUUGUGAGGAACUUUGAGCUUCUCU